rnacentral:lncRNA from 1 species
UCCAAGACACAUCUGAUUAGAGCAUUUUGAAACUAUUUCUACCAUCAGAGCAGUACUAAUUUUCACACAAGCAAAACCACAAACACCUUGCGUGCAAAUUUAUCAACCAUUUUCCAUACUCUUCAAAGUCACGUGUUUGAGCCAGCAGUUGGCAACUCACAAACAGGUCGAGGUGGAGAUGGAGGCGGAGGCUAGUGUCUAUGUUUAUCAUAAGCCCACUGUUAAAAGAUCCAUGUUAAGGAUAAUUCUAUAACAGGAAUGAUACCGAGUAAAUUGGCAGAUAGUAGGGGGUGUUUGGCUAAGCUUUUGAAAGGCAAAAGUCCUUUUAGGAAAAGUUGCAAAAAAUCAGGAUUCUGUAACUUUUCCAAAAAGUACAUUUUUCCUUAUAUAAAAAAGUAACUUUUACAACAUUGCCAAAUAUCUUUUGCCUUUUUAUCUUUUCCUAAAAACUAAAAGUUAUUUUUAAAGAUAAAACAAGCACCCCGUAGUAGAGCUUACCCUUGGUUUCUUCUUCUGUUUUUCUUCAUCUGUUUUUUUUACCUUCAUUUCUUCUUGUAUCAAUGCAAAUGCUUCAUCAAUUAUUUCUUCUUCUGUUUUUAUGAUAUUAUCAGAAUUGAGAAACAAUUUAAGUGACAUAGUAUUGAAUGAAAUGACAUAACCAUAGAUGGAAAUGUUUUAAGUAAAAUUAAGAAGAAAUUGAUGUAUCUGUUUUGUUUGAAAAUGAAAAAUUACGUUCAUUCUUGUAUCAAUGCGAAUUCAUUCAUCAAUUAUAGCUCCUAAUGCCAUUGGUAUGAAUUCAACUUUGGAAUUAUGAAAACUACUCGCACUAUCAAUACUUACACCAAUCAUUUACGAACAAGUUAAAAAGUAAAUUACUAAAAUCGUUCCUAUGGUUUUGUCAAAAUUUCAUGUUUGGUCCCUAACUUUUUCUUUGCACUCGGACCAUCCCUAUGGUUUGAUUUCGUUGCGUUUUUCGUCCCUAUGGUUUGGUCAAAAUUGCACGUUUGGUCCUUAAUUUUAUGUAUGUAAGGGACGAAAAACGCAACAAAAUCAAACCAUAGGGACGAUCCGAGUGCAAAAAAAAAAGUUAGGGACCAAACGUGAAAUUCUAACCAAACCAUAGGGACGAUUUUAGUAAUUUACUCAAGUUAAAAUUAAAAAAAGAAUUAAACUAUAAGGAUCUGUGACUCUGCAGAUAGCAUAAAAGAAACCAACCUUACACACCCGAUGGCAUAUGCAUUAGCAUUGAAUGCUACAAUUGUGAAUCAUAAGGGUGGGUCAUGAAUCCU